UGAGCAUCCAAACGGCGGUUGCGAAACCGUUAAGAAGAGCUCCGGCGCAGAAGAGAACUCCUCCGAGAAGCAUCGAAAGUUUCCUGCCAAACUCACGAGUAACGUAAGAAGCAACAACGCAAGAGCAGAGCGCGGCGAGGUAGAGAGAGGAGGUGAAGAGAGUGAGAGGAAUGCUGUCGAAUUUGCAGUAUUUGCUAGACUCUUGAUCGUUCUUUUGCUUCUCGUAUACGGACGGGAAGAACUCCUUCUGAAACGAAUCCAUAGUCGUCACACCUCCUGCAAAAAAUAACAAAAAUCAUAAACAAAAUUGUAACAUUGAGAAAAAAUUAGCAAAAAUAAAGAUCUUGUAGGAAAACAUAUGGAGGAAAAUAUUACCGGAGAUUCCAAUGUCGUAACCGAAGAUGAGACCACCCAUGGCGGCAACGAUACACGUCAUGGUGACGUAAAGAGUGAGUUUGCCGGGAUAUUCCCUAUUGCCAUCUCCUAUGACAAUUCCGACUGCGGGCAUUUUGGGUUUUACUAAAUUUUAAGAGUGUAGAUUAGAAUAAGCAGAUGAAUCGUUACACGUUCUGUGUUUAUUAUAUAUAAGCAAAGGUGUGGAGGUUAAUGUGGAUUCACUAGUAAGCUGUGGAUAGAUCGUUAACUUACUUAACGUGUUGAAUUUAAUUGAUUAUCUUUUAUGCUCAUUUUCCUUAAAUUUAAUAAUUCAUUUAUGUGGUAAAAUUAGCACCAAAUGAACUUGACAUGGAAUUAAAUCCUCGGUCUUUAUUUUCCAUCUAGCAAUUGGACAAAAUAAUCCAGCCACAUUAAUUCGCAUGCAUCUCUCUAAGUCAGAGUCUAUUGAUUCGCAUAGAUAUAUAAGUCAAGAAAUUUUUUUAUAAGGUUUAUAAUCCGUGGAAAUUAGAAAGAACAUGCAUCAUAUUGUAUUUUAAUAGAAAAUGUCACAAAAAAAGUAAUCUUACUUUAGAAUCCCAGGUUUCUACUUUCUAGCAUGUAAUAGAUUCAACGAUAUGGAUGGGGAAUGCAUGUUCAUUUGAAUUUAUUGUUUCCUUUUAAGUAAAAAGUUAUAGGUAAAGUUUGCGAUAUGGUUUAGAAUUGUGGUUGAGAGGUUAGGUUUUGUUUUGAGUUACUAGUAUGAGACAGAUGAACAAUUUUAGUAUUACGUAUUGGCAGAGGACUCUCCUAUACCAUUCUAUAUAAUUAACACUCUACCAUGAAGUGGGAAUUAAAUUAAUUAUGAAAAUCUUUGCGAAGGAUAAUAACAGAUCUAACAAUGAAUUUUCUGACUAGACGACACAUGUUUUGUUUUGAUAUUGUAAAACAUUACUCUUUUGUAAGGCGCUAAGUUCAAAUUUAAUUUAGUUUUAAACACAUAAAAACUAGAAUUUUUUUGGGGUCAAAAACUAGAAUUUAUAAAUCACCAAACAAUGAGGAUCUGUCUUCCUGGAAAAAAAUAAACUCAAUCCAAAAGCAUAAGAAACAGAGGAUCAUACACAUGGACCCAUGGUGUAUUUACUUACUAUGAAUUUUCUCUGUUUAAAUGUUGCAUAUAUAUCAUUCACAUUGGCUACAAUUGAACCCAUUUUCACAAUCUCCACUAAUUUUUUUUUUCAGCAACCUUUGACACAAACGCCUCACUAGAAUCAUCAUACGAGAUUUUACACCAAAAAAGUCUUGUCAUUGAUUAAAAACUUUUUAGAUAUCAGGAAAUCUCACAUUGUUAAGAUCAUAUGGUCUGCAGCCUCUAGAAGAGUGAUUUGCACUAAAUUCUUGGCCACGGGAUAGAGUUUGACUAGACCCCGUUGACAAAAUCAUGAAGCUAAGAAGCAAACUCAACACCUGUUGGUCCACCACCAACUACUACAAAAUUUAGCAUCAUCUUUCUCUCUUAUUCGUUCAGUUCUGGUAAACUUUCCUUCUCAUAUGAAACAACGACAGUUCUACGGAUUCUUUGUCCGUCUUCAAGACUUCAACCACCUGCAAUCCCACCAACAGUUCUUAGAGACAUCUUAAAAAGAGAUAAAAUCCUUCGGAAUAUUCUUACAUCCAUAUAAGCAAUCAGUCAUUUUACAAUUUGCUCCACAAACUAUCAUUGCUUACAGAACAAUGUAUAGAGAGUGGAGCAAGAAAACUAUUAAAAAAUGGCUAAGGAAAUGACAAUUCUCCUCCACCCCAGGAAUGUUAAAUGUGUUAGACUGAGUUACAAGAUAGUCAUAGUCAACAUCAAAAAAUUUAUUCCCGUUAGAAUCCACGUCUUGUUUAGAUCGACAGUAAACUUUCUUGCUUCAUGGAUCAAUCUUGAAACAUUCUGCCUCCAAGAAAGAUAUCUCAGCUCUGUUUCUGCUUUAUCAAGAGACAUAACAAGCUUGCAUUAAUUAGUAGCUACUCAACGCAAUACAAACACUAGAAAAAAACUUGGGCAACUUAAACAACAAAACUCAGAAUGUUGUCUCAAAAGAAAUAUAAUAGAACAUUUGUAGUGAGAAACUGAGAAGUACCAACAGAUUUCAGUUUCUGUUUUACCUUCCUUCCAGACUGGCUCAGCUACUCUGCGAGCUUUCAACAGUAGCUCGUAUGAUGAGUUUUUCAAAUCCUUCAACAAACAUUUUGGUUUGACAAGUGUCAAGCGUGUGAAAAAUAAAAAUAAAAAUAAAAAUAAAAAUAAAAUGUCGACGCCUCGGAUCUUACGGAGUUUCGUCUCGGCUUGCUUGAAUCGGCCUCGCUCGAUCAUGGAGUUCGGUGUGUCCGGGAGGAUGAGGGAUCCGACGGUGAUGAUGAGAGCGGGAACGACGGCGCCGCCGAGGCUGAGCCGCCAGCCCCAGCCGCCGGGAAUCUUGGAGAAGAAGAAGUUUAGGACGCUGGCGACGAGGAUGCCGAUAGUGAUCGAGAGCUGGAAUCCGAUGUUUAGUGCUCCUCUGUAUUUAUAUGGUGCCAUCUCCGAGAGGUACAACGGUACGGACUGUCAAUUUGAAAAAAUAAAAGUAAUGAGGUUAUUUUGUAAAUAUGAUGUAUUGUAAGGGUACAAAAACAGACAUGUUCUACUCAAACAACAACAUGCGGUAGGAAACUGAACAUUACUCCCUCUGUUAAAAAUAAUUAAUUUGACGAUAAAAAACUACUAACUUUUAUUCAGUCUUAUCUAAUUCGCAUAAAAACGACAAUAACUAAAGGUAAUUCAACCAAUAAAAAAUUAUAUUGCAAAAUACAAAUGAUUUUGAACUUCAAAUUGUAUUUACUUUUUGAUUAAAGUUUUGAAAAUAUGAAGUAAACAGAAACUAAACAAAAAUUCUAACACAUCAGUUAAAAUCAAACAGAGGGAAUAGAUAAAAUAUCAGCACAGCAAGUCAGCAACCAACAAGAGUACAGAGCGAGGGUCCAUGUGAUCAAAAACAAAGUAUUAGCUCAUAAUUAGAAUACUAUAUAAAAAUAAUGACGGACCUGAUUUGUGAACCCAAUACCGAAACCGAGCAACAAACGACCAACGAUGAGCAUCCAAACGGCGGUUGCGAAACCGUUAAGAAGAGCUCCGGCGCAGAAGAGAACUCCUCCGAGAAGCAUCGAAAGUUUCCUGCCAAACUCACGAGUAACGUAAGAAGCAACAACGCAAGAGCAGAGCGCGGCGAGGUAGAGAGAGGAGGUGAAGAGAGUGAGAGGAAUGCUGUCGAAUUUGCAGUAUUUGCUAGACUCUUGAUCGUUCUUUUGCUUCUCGUAUACGGACGGGAAGAACUCCUUCUGAAACGAAUCCAUAGUCGUCACACCUCC
rnacentral:lncRNA from 1 species